rnacentral:rRNA from 1 species
UACGUAGGGUGCGAGCGUUGUCCGGAAUUAUUGGGCGUAAAGAGCUCGUAGGCGGUCUGUCGCGUCGAAUGUGAAAACCCGGGGCUCAACCCCGGGCCUGCAUUCGAUACGGGCAGACUAGAGUUCGGUAGGGGAGUCUGGAAUUCCUGGUGUAGCGGUGAAAUGCGCAGAUAUCAGGAGGAACACCGGUGGCGGAGGCGGGACUCUGGGCCGAUACUGACGCUGAGGAGCGAAAGCGUGGGGAGCAAACAGG